UUUCCGUAGGUGAACCUGCGGAAGGAUCAUUAUCGAGUUUUGAACGGGUUGUAGCUGGCCUCAUACUGUGGCAUGUGCACGCCUGUCUUCAUCCACUCUUCAACCUCUGUGCACUUAUUGUAGGCUGGUGAAGGGUCGCAUAGUAAUGUGCGGCUUGAAGCCUGGUCUACGUUUUACUACAAACGCUUCAGUUAUAGAAUGUCUAUCUGCGUAUAACGCAUUUAAUAUACAACUUUCAGCAACGGAUCUCUUGGCUCUCGCAUCGAUGAAGAACGCAGC
rnacentral:misc_RNA from 1 species